rnacentral:snRNA from 1 species
AGUGCCCACUUUGGACUAAAACUGGAAUGAUGCAGAGGAGACUGGCCAUGGCCCCUGUUGCAAGGAUGACCCACAAAUUUGUGAAACAUUCCAUAAUUUA